AAAGGCAUGCCUAACACAUGCAAGUCGAACGGUAACGCGAGGAGCUUGCUCCUUGGCGACGAGUGGCGGACGGGUGAGUAAUACUUAGGAAUCUGCCCAGUAGUGGGGGACAACUCGAGGAAACUCGAGCUAAUACCGCAUACGCCCUACGGGGGAAAGCGGGGGAUCUUCGGACCUCGCGCUAUUGGAUGAGCCUAAGCCGGAUUAGCUUUUUGGGGGGGUAAAGGCCUACCAAGGCGACGAUCCGUAGCUGGUCUGAGAGGACGAUCAGCCACACUGGGACUGAGACACGGCCCAGACUCCUACGGGAGGCAGCAGUGGGGAAUAUUGGACAAUGGGGGCAACCCUGAUCCAGCAAUGCCGCGUGUGUGAAGAAGGCCUGCGGGUUUUAAAGCACUUUCAGUAGAGAAGAAAAGCUUACGGUUAAUAACUGUGAGUCUUGACGUAACCUACAGAAGAAGCACCGGCUAACUCCGUGCCAGCAGCCGCGGUAAUACGGAGGGGGCAAGCGUUAAUCGGAAUUACUGGGCGUAAAGCGCGCGUAGGCGGUUUAGUAAGUCGGAUGUGAAAGCCCUGGGCUCAACCUGGGAAUUGCAUUCGAUACUGCUUGACUAGAGUAUGGUAGAGGGAAGUGGAAUUUCCGGGGUAGCGGGGAAAUGCGUAGAUAUCGGAAGGAACACCAGUGGCGAAGGCGACUUCCUGGGCCAAUACUGACGCUGAGGGGCGAAAGCGUGGGGG
rnacentral:rRNA from 1 species